GAAAUGAACGCUGGCGGCAUGCCUUACACAUGCAAGUCGAACGGCAGCAUGACCUAGCUUGCUAGGUUGAUGGCGAGUGGCGAACGGGUGAGUAAUGCAUCGGAACGUGCCUUUUAGUGGGGGAUAACGUAGCGAAAGUUACGCUAAUACCGCAUAUUCUCUGAGGAGGAAAGCAGGGGACCUUCGGGCCUUGCGCUAGAAGAGCGGCCGAUGUCGGAUUAGCUAGUUGGUGAGGUAAAGGCUCACCAAGGCAACGAUCCGUAGCGGGUCUGAGAGGAUGAUCCGCCACACUGGGACUGAGACACGGCCCAGACUCCUACGGGAGGCAGCAGUGGGGAAUUUUGGACAAUGGGCGCAAGCCUGAUCCAGCCAUGCCGCGUGAGUGAAGAAGGCCUUCGGGUUGUAAAGCUCUUUCGGCUGGGAAGAAAUCGCACUCUCUAAUACGGGGUGUGGAUGACGGUACCAGCAUAAGAAGCACCGGCUAACUACGUG
rnacentral:rRNA from 1 species